rnacentral:piRNA from 1 species
UUCCCCAAUGCUGCGAUACUAAGAUGAGUGU